UACAGAGGGUGCGAGCGUUAAUCGGAAUUACUGGGCGUAAAGCGCGCGUAGGCGGCUUUGCAAGUCGGGUGUGAAAUCCCCAGGCUUAACCUGGGAACUGCAUUCGAGACUGCAUUGCUAGAGUAUGGGAGAGGGAAGUGGAAUUUCCGGUGUAGCGGUGAAAUGCGUAGAUAUGCGGAGGAACACCGAUGGCGAAGGCAAUCCCCUGGGCCUGUACUGACGCUCAUGCACGAAAGCGUGGGGAGCAAACAGG
rnacentral:rRNA from 1 species